rnacentral:snRNA from 1 species
GUACUCAUUCCGGUAGCAUACAUACUAAAAUUGAAACAAUACAGAGAUCAGCAUGGGCCCGGCACAAGGAUGACACACAGAUCUGUGAAGCAUUCCAUAGUAAA